rnacentral:rRNA from 1 species
AUGGUAACAACUCGACAUGAUACUGUUGCUCAUGCAAUUGGGGUGCAAGAUAUGCAUCGAGUUGAUCUAAUGUCAGCAGACGUAGGAUGGGAACUCCUUUGGAAGAGUAUGAGCAGUAAUGAAGAAAAAGAUGUGCAGAGCCUGCGCAGUAUAGGCAUGGAUAUUGUACGUAAAUGUGGUGGGCUUCCUUUCGCAAUCAAGGUUACUGCUACUGUUCUAGCAAGUAAAGAAAAAACAGAGAAUAGCUGGAGAAAGGUUCUACAAGAAGCGCAUGGUCUAUGGGCAAUCUUCCUACUGAGCUCAAAGGUGCUUUGUAUUUGA